AUUGAACGCUGGCGGCAGGCCUAACACAUGCAAGUCGAGCGGAUGAGAGGAGCUUGCUCCUUGAUUUAGCGGCGGACGGGUGAGUAAUGCCUAGGAAUCUGCCUGGUAGUGGGGGAUAACGUUCCGAAAGGAACGCUAAUACCGCGUACGUCCUACGGGAGAAAGCAGGGGACCUUCGGGCCUUGCGCUAUCAGAUGAGCCUAGGUCGGAUUAGCUAGUUGGUGAGGUAAUGGCUCACCAAGGCGACGAUCCGUAACUGGUCUGAGAGGAUGAUCAGUCACACUGGAACUGAGACACGGUCCAGACUCCUACGGGAGGCAGCAGUGGGGAAUAUUGGACAAUGGGCGAAAGCCUGAUCCAGCCAUGCCGCGUGUGUGAAGAAGGUCUUCGGAUUGUAAAGCACUUUAAGUUGGGAGGAAGGGCAGUAAGUUAAUACCUUGCUGUUUUGACGUUACCGACAGAAUAAGCACCGGCUAACUUCGUGCCAGCCGCCGCCGUAAGAC
rnacentral:rRNA from 1 species